GGUUUAGUAUUUAAACUAUAAAAUAUGAUUUGCACUCAUAAAUUGGCACCUCUGCCCUAAACCA